rnacentral:rRNA from 1 species
UACUAGAGUAGCACUCGCAUAUCAAUAAGCGGAGGAAAAGAAACUAACAAGGAUUCCCCUAGUAACGGCGGAGUGAAGCGGGAAGGAGCUCAAAUUCGAAAUCUUAAAGGGUUUCCCUUUACGAAUUGUAGUUUAAAGAAGUGUUUUCUGUUGAGGUUUUGGUAAAAGUUCUUUGGAAUAGGACAUCAUAGAGGGUGAGAAUCCCGUAUUUGACCUUUACUUUCAACUUUGUGAUACACUUUCAAAGAGUCGGAUUGUUUGGGAAUGCAGUCCAAAAUGGGUGGUAAAUUUCAUCUAAAGCUAAAUAUUGGCGAGAGACCGAUAGCGAACAAGUACCGUGAGGGAAAGAUGAAAAGAACUUUGAAAAGAGAGUUAAACAGUACGUGAAAUUGUCAAAAGGGAAGCGUUUGACACCAGUGUUGUUUUUCUGAAAAUCAAUUAAAGAACUGUUUAUGCUAAGCUUGUUUAGACUUUAUCAGCUAUCUGCUUUAGUUUUGAGCUUUUCUUUAAUGCACUUUUCAGUUAACAAGUCAACAUCAAUUUCUUUUGCUGUAAAAAAGCUUGAGGAAGGUGGCUUGAGAUUCGUCUUAAGUGUUUAUAGCCUCUUGCCUAUGCAGUCGGAGAGAUUGAGGUCUGCAGCGUAGAUCCUUCGGGGCUAAAUGCAUUUGUGCUAAGUUAUAGCAUUUUAUAGACAACUUGUUGACUAUGAUUUGUCUUGUAGCUUACUCGCUUAUGUUAUUUUACCUACGCUUAGGAUGUUGAUCUACAGAGCGAGAGU